AGCGAACGCUGGCGGCAUGCCUAACACAUGCAAGUCGAACGAACCUUUCGGGGUUAGUGGCGGACGGGUGAGUAACACGUGGGAACGUGCCUUUAGGUUCGGAAUAACUCAGGGAAACUUGUGCUAAUACCGAAUGUGCCCUUCGGGGGAAAGAUUUAUCGCCUUUAGAGCGGCCCGCGUCUGAUUAGCUAGUUGGUUGAGGUAAUGGCUCACCAAGGCGACGAUCAGUAGCUGGUCUGAGAGGAUGAUCAGCCACAUUGGGACUGAGACACGGCCCAAACUCGUACGGGAGGCAGCAGUGGGGAAUCUUGCGCAAUGGGCGAAAGCCUGACGCAGCCAUGCCGCGUGAAUGAUGAAGGUCUUAGGAUUGUAAAAUUCUUUCACCGGGGACGAUAAUGACGGUACCCGGAGAAGAAGCCCCGGCUAACUUCGUG
rnacentral:rRNA from 1 species